rnacentral:rRNA from 1 species
UACGUAGGGUGCGAGCGUUGUCCGGAAUUAUUGGGCGUAAAGGGCUCGUAGGCGGUCUGUUGCGUCAGGAGUGAAAACUCGGGGCUUAACCCCGAGCCUGCUUCUGAUACGGGCAGACUAGAGGUAUGCAGGGGAGAACGGAAUUCCUGGUGUAGCGGUGAAAUGCGCAGAUAUCAGGAGGAACACCGGUGGCGAAGGCGGGUCGACUG